GGGCAGAGUGGCCCCCGGGCUCACACCCACGCGGAGGGAGAGGUCAGCAUCACUGCCACGGGACAGGCCAGAGCUGGACCUCGGCCUAGAGCUGGGUGCCAGUGGAUGCCACCCCUCUUCCCUGUCCUCCGCCGCAGCCUCCGAGUCAGAGCCCUCGCCCGCCAGGCCCCGGGCACCCCCCGCCCUGCGGAAGCACCUUGGGAAGCCGCCGGGGCCGGUGACAUCCCGGGGACAGCACACGGGUGACACAGCUGCAUCUGGGGGAGGUGACACCCCCCGGCAGCCCCAGCACAGCACCCCCAGGAGAACGUCCUGCCCCAGCUGCCGGGCACCCAUGGGCCCCUCUGCGCCGGGCAGCAGGGACACAGCCACACACGAGCGUGGUCCUGGUGGCUCCUGUCCCCCAGGAGCCGAGAAACCAGAGCAACCUGGAAUUUGGUACUUGGCAGCCGCCCCUGCUGCCACCGCU